AUGAGAAUAUGAUUAUCCUCUGUGGGCACCUUCACUUUAGCUACCGUGGUGGCAAACCUUUUACCUCAGAUUGAAGAAAACUAACCACACACCAAAGCACACGGAAAUGCACUGAAUGCGGUAGAUGGAGACUGGUGGAAGAACGCUGGAGCAUUCAUAGACAGCAAUGUGAUUUCAAUCUUUCAACCUGAAGCACGCAGGCCCUCCACUCCUGCUUCAUUGCUGAAGGAGCAGAAGAGCCGGCGUCGACAUCCACUCAUGGGUUUCAUUCCUGACCUUGACAAGAAUCAUCCGCCGCAGCCUUCUGCAAGAUAAGGAGGUGCCUAGCAGGCGUUACCUGGCAACAGGUACCGUCAGAGCAGAGCUCUGGGGUAGUGUCGCCUUUUCCGAUGCUGCUAUUAGAUCUCUUCUGCUUGUGAGUGCGUUUAUCGAUUUAUUCCCUGGCCGCAUCAUUGAGACAGUCCCACCUCUCGUUUUCCUCAUUCGGAUAACUUCACUGCCUUCAUCUCAAUUCAGUAUGGCACCCACAAGAGCACAUUAUACCACAGUGGUUUGGUUGUCAUUAUGAAUGGCCCCUGUUGGGUUAAUCGUCUUUUGUACCUGUCGAUACAUCUGAUGAAAAGAAGUCAAACACUGAAUGCUAUUCUAUGUAUAUAAUAACACCUGUUACUUAACACACUUAUAGUGAAAGCAGCUGGGGUGAUUUUCUUUAUCGCUCAUGAAUGAACGUUCCCACCAAACGUAAGCCUAUACGAUCGUCUCUAUCUUGCAUGCUAAACCAGCCAGCAUGAGCUUUUAAGCCUCUGACCGCUGCCACCAGGGGACAUUGGGAAACACAUAGCAUCUGGACUUAAUUGGAAGUGUUAUUGAAGAAAUCGGACACUUAUUACACACCCAAACUCUACGUCCGUCCCGUCAGUUUCUAGGCGCAAACUGGCAUUAGUAUCAAAUUGAAUAUAAUUAGAUUCUAUGAGAACAAAAGAGUUUAGCAACACAGGAGCAAAGCAGGAAGACAGUGAGAGGGAUUUUUCUUUCCCACAGUGAAUCUUCCUUUGUUAACAUGAUAACGGAUAACAUUCUGUCACAAUGACUUACGGUGAGCUGCACACUGCACUCUGUAGAAAGACCAGAUUGACCUCGCAGUUCAUCAACCUUUUCAAAGCCGAUAACUCUUUCUGGCAACCAUCGACUCCAUACCCACAAUAAAAUUCUGCUUCUGUUUA